GCCAAACAAAAUGUCUUAUCAUUAAUAGCAGUAUCAAUUCUAUCUAUUUUUUUUUUGCCAAUCAGUUGUAGCCCAAGUGGAAUAGGGCUUUGUUUCCAUACGAUGGAUUCGGGUUCGAAACAUGCGCGCAUUGAUGCCCUGUGGUGGGAUCUUAAACGAAUAUUUUUCGGUAGAAGGAGGUCCUUAUGGUCACGCCCAG
rnacentral:lncRNA from 1 species